rnacentral:tRNA from 1 species
CGGGCUGUAGUGUACCGGUAACACGCUUGGUUCGGGUCCAAGAAAUAGUGGGUCCAACUCCCACCAGCCCGA